rnacentral:rRNA from 1 species
GGCCUACCAUGGCGGUAACGGGUAACGGGGUGUUCAGGGCAGACACCCGGAGAGGGAGCCUGAGAAACGGCUACCACAUCCCAAGGAUGGCAGCAGGCGCGCCAAAUUACCCCAAUCCCCGACACGGGGGAGGUAGUGACAAUAAAAUAACAAAUACGGGGGUUCUUUCGGGAUUUUGUAAAUUGGAAAUGAGUACAAAUUUAAAUCUCUUAACGAGGAACAAAUUGGAGGGCAAGUCUGGUGCCAGCAGCCGCGGUAAUUCCAGCUCCAAUAGGGUAUAUUAAAGUUGCUGCAGUUAAAAAGCUUGUAGUUGAAUUUCGGGACUAAUAUGUCGGUCGUGCCUCGGUACGUACUGGCUUAUUGGUUUCUCCUUUCUGAAGAACCAUGAUGUCAUUUAUUUGGUGUCGUGGGGAAUCAGGACUGUUACUUUGAAAAAAUUAGAGUGUUUAAAGCAGGCUCACGCUUGAAUACAUUAGCAUGGAAUAAUGAAAUAGGACGUUUGAUUCUAUUUUGUUGGUUUCUAGGAUCGACGUAAUGAUUAAUAGGGAUAGUUGGGGGCAUUAGUAUUCAAUUGUCAGAGGUGAAAUUCUUGGAUUUAUUGAAGACUAACUACUGCGAAAGCAUUUGCCAAGGAUGUUUUCAUUAAUCAAGAACGAAAGUUAGGGGAUCGAAGACGAUCAGAUACCGUCGUAGUCUUAACCAUAAAUUAUGCCGACUAGGGAUCGGAUGAUGUUAAUUUUUUAAUGACUCAUUCGGCGCCUUACGGGAAACCAAAGUGUUUGGGUUC